rnacentral:misc_RNA from 1 species
UCAGCCUAUAUGUGCGUUCUCUGUUGGCAACUUUACUCAGUCGCCACCAUCAGGGACAGAAGGGAGCAGUUGAAGCUUUUUCUGCGGGGUAUUUGUGGUCAAAUAUGUCAGCUGUUGUGCAAAGUAACCCAUUUGACUAGGCACUCAUCUGCUAUGCUUUUUGACGAAUUUCAAGGAUUAUCGAAAAUUUAUCAUCGUAGAAGAGUUCCUGUCAUAAUCUAAGAACCCCUUUGUUAUUGUUUCAAACUUCUAUAGUACUUACAGUUUCUGCAAAUGGAAAUCACAAACUGAAGAAAUAUGGACAGACUUGCAGACUCCCACCUUACAAUUUCUAACUGCAAAUCAAACCAGCCUAAUAGUUUGUCGCUGAAAGUUAUACCC